rnacentral:rRNA from 1 species
ACAGUUUGAUCCUGGUCUCAGAUUGAACGCUGGCGGCAGGCCUAACACAUGCAAGUCGAGCGGAUGAUGGGAGCUUGCUCCCGGAUUCAGCGGCGGACGGGUGAGUAAUGCCUAGGAAUCUGCCUGGUAGUGGGGGACAACGUUUCGAAAGGAACGCUAAUACCGCAUACGUCCUACGGGAGAAAGCAGGGGACCUUCGGGCCUUGCGCUAUCAGAUGAGCCUAGGUCGGAUUAGCUAGUUGGUGGGGUAAAGGCCUACCAAGGCGACGAUCCGUAACUGGUCUGAGAGGAUGAUCAGUCACACUGGAACUGAGACACGGUCCAUACUCCUACGGGAGGCAGCAGUGGGGAAUAUUGGACAAUGGGCGAAAGCCUGAUCCAGCCAUGCCGCGUGUGUGAAGAAGGUCUUCGGAUUGUAAAGCACUUUAAGUUGGGAGGAAGGGCAGUAAGUUAAUACCUUGCUGUUUUGACGUUACCAACAGAAUAAGCACCGGCUAACUUCGUGCCAGCAGCCGCGGUAAUACGAAGGGUGNNCAGCGUUAUCGGAAUUACUGGGCGUUAAGCGCGCGUAGGUGGUUUGGUAAGAUGGAUGUGAAAUCCCGGG